rnacentral:rRNA from 1 species
AACCGGAUUAGAUACCCUGGUAGUCCACGCUGUAAACGAUGUCGAUUUGGAGGUUGUGCCCUUGAGGCGUGGCUUCCGGAGCUAACGCGUUAAAUCGACCGCCUGGGGAGUACGGCCGCAAGGUUAAAACUCAAAUGAAUUGACGGGGGCCCGCACAAGCGGUGGAGCAUGUGGUUUAAUUCGAUGCAACGCGAAGAACCUUACCUACUCUUGACAUCCAGAGAACUUUCCAGAGAUGGAUUGGUGCCUUCGGGAACUCUGAGACAGGUGCUGCAUGGCUGUCGUCAGCUCGUGUUGUGAAAUGUUGGGUUAAGUCCCGCAACGAGCGCAACCCUUAUCCUUUGUUGCCAGCGGUUCGGCCGGGAACUCAAAGGAGACUGCCAGUGAUAAACUGGAGGAAGGUGGGGAUGACGUCAAGUCAUCAUGGCCCUUACGAGUAGGGCUACACACGUGCUACAAUGGCGUAUACAAAGAGAAGCGACCUCGCGAGAGCAAGCGGACCUCAUAAAGUACGUCGUAGUCCGGAUUGGAGUCUGCAACUCGACUCCAUGAAGUCGGAAUCGCUAGUAAUCGUAGAUCAGAAUGCUACGGUGAAUACGUUCCCGGGCCUUGUACACACCGCCCGUCACACCAUGGGAGUGGGUUGCAAAAGAAGUAGGUAGCUUAACCUUCGGGAGGGCGCUUACCACUUUGUGAUUCAUGACUGGGGUGAAGUCGUAACAAGGUAACC